GUGGGGAAUCUUGCGCAAUGGGCGAAAGCCUGACGCAGCCAUGCCGCGUGAAUGAUGAAGGUCUUAGGAUUGUAAAAUUCUUUCACCGGGGACGAUAAUGACGGUACCCGGAGAAGAAGCCCCGGCUAACUUCGUGCCAGCAGCCGCGGUAAUACGAAGGGGGCUAGCGUUGCUCGGAAUUACUGGGCGUAAAGGGCGCGUAGGCGGACAGUUUAGUCAGAGGUGAAAGCCCAGGGCUCAACCUUGGAAUUGCCUUUGAUACUGGCUGUCUUGAGUACGGGAGAGGUGAGUGGAACUCCGAGUGUAGAGGUGAAACUCGUAGAUAUUCGGAAGAACACCAGUGGCGAAGGCGACUCACUGGCCCGUUACUGACGCUGAGGCGCGAAAGCGUGGGGAGCAAACAGGAUUAGAAACCCCGGUAGUCC
rnacentral:rRNA from 1 species